CGACCCUUAGCCUUGGUGAAAAGGAAACCCCGACGACGACAUGACAAGGAACAAGAGGGAGAGGGAGAGAGAGCGUCAGCUUUUUUUUCGUAUCUUGUUUUAAAAAUUCAACAUUCUGUAAUAAAAUUGAUUUGAUUGUUUGAAACGGUGCCUGUUGUCUUUGUUUAUUGACAUCAAUACUUUUGGUAUAAAAAUGCAUUUUACUUGCAAGCGAGAUUUAGGGCAAAAAUAGGCCAUGACGCAAUGAAGAGGCUCGCUGCUUCUGGAUUGUGCGCAGAAGCGCGAAAAUACGAUUACGCCUCGUGACUCGAAAACUGGAAAUAUUUCAAACGUAUCUGACUUCCACAAAGAUAUACUUCGAUAAUUUAAAAAAUGGCCGGGUAUGAACCAGAAGAGCCGGAGUUUUCUGACGAUUCUGAAUAUUGUCAAGCAGUUAGAAUAGGGCGGCACGAUAAAGGCGCCGAACUCACAAUCUUCCAUACGCCGAAUGAAGGAUACCAAAUUCACAACGGAUACCUAGCAGAGCAGAAGACACUUUACAGUCAUGGUAGACGUUAUGACAAGUUGACAAUAGUUACAUCCAGAGGGAAAAAAAUCGUCGUUCGUCGAUAUGAAGACGAUGAAGAAUUCAAGGUAAUGUCAAAGGGAUAUUGGAUAAGUCAAGAGGAUGUCGAACUUUGAAUGACGAAUACAUCAAUUUGACAAGACGUCUGAACUGCUAAAGACAACCCUCAAGAUCUUUGUGACUAUUCCACUGAUGUAACUUAGAAAGAUUAUUUUGUCAAUCAAGUAAUAAAAUAGGUACUGUUGUAACAAUAUCCGUGUGCGGAAUUACGUCCGAAACAUUUCGCAACCCAAAAAUAAACGCGGCAACAUGCAUGUGUUCAAAAUAAUAUUUCUCCUGCCAUAGCUCCACGAUCAGUGCAGUUCCAAAAAUAGCCUUUCUGUCAUGUUGACAGCUAACGUGCCCGACAAACGCUACUCUAAACAACCGUAGAAUCACGAAUACUGGGACCUUUUCGAUAAAGAAAACUAGCUUGAAUUGAACUUAAGUUAUCGAAGGGUAAACACAUUAAGGAGUAAUCCGAGAUAAGCAACAAAUCGUUGCGAGUUCGCGGAGAGUUCGAGUGAGCGGCGGUCAACAGAAGUAGACAAAACAUAUCUAGAGCAUAAGUACUUGCCAAAUACAAAUAUCAUGUCUCUGUCAUGCGUAUUACAAUUUUGCUGAUACAUCAUAUUACUUGCGUAAGCAUUACCGUCGAUGCUCGGAAAACAAUUAACGAGAGCAAAUUUUUCUCGCUGCGUUUCUCAUUUACGAGAUAGUCUAUUAUUUACGACAAAGAUGUAUGGUUAUAGACCCUGGGAACCCGUGUACACUUCUGAAGAAGCAGUUCGUGUUGGAAGAGGCUUCAGUUAUCUUGACGUGAUAAUUCGCUACAAUAACCCCGGUUUUGGACGAGGAGAGUUCAGCGUUGAUCGCGGACGGAUACUCAAUCAAUGGCCGGUAAACGGCGGACGAACACUGCGUAUUCAGACAUCCAGCGGACAUGAUUUUCAGAUCACCCGUCGACAAGGAGGAGAAUAUGUUAUGGAAACAUACGGUUACUGGUGCACGAAGAUAUAGCGCGGCUAAAAUUUGUGACGGCUUUGCCGAGAAGAACAACACAUUUAUUCCUACAUAACCUACUCAAUCGAAUUUCGUUAUCACUUAAAAGUUAAGAUAUCAUAAACUCUGUAACAAUAAAAAUAAAAUGAUUACUCUCACAACACAGAAA